rnacentral:tRNA from 2 species
GCCAGCGUAGCUCAGGGGUAGAGCAACUGAUUCGUAAUCAGUAGGUCGCGGGUUCGAAUCCCAUCGCUGGCUCCA